CUUGGCUGAUCUUGCUAAUAGUCAUAUGCUUGUCUCAAAGAUUAAGCCAUGCAAGUGUAAGUAUGAACUAAUUUAGACUGUGAAAUUAUGAAUGGCUCAUUAAAUCAGUUAUAGUUAGUUUGAUGGUAUCUAUUACUCAGAUAACCGUAGUAAUUCUACAACUGAAGCAUACAACAAGCCCCUACUUCUAGAAGAGAUGCAUUUAUUAGACAAAAGGUCGACGCGGGCUUUGCCUUUUACUCUAAUGAUUCGUUAUAACUCAACGGAUCGCACGGCCUUCGUGCCAGCCACGCAUCAUUCAAAUUUUUGCCCUAUCAACUUUUGAUGGUAGGAUAGUGGCCUACUAUGAUAGUGACUAAUGACAGAGAAUUAGGGUUUGAUUUCGAAGAGGGAACCUGAGAAAAGGUUAACAAAUCCAAAGAAGGUUGUAGGCGAAAAAUUACCCAAUCUUGAUACAGGGAGGUUAUGAUAAUAAAUAACAAUACCAGGCUCUAUGAGUCUAAUAAUUGAAAUGAAUUCAAUCUAAAUCCUUUAAUAAGGAUCCAUUUGAGGGCAAGUUUGAUGCCAACAGCUACGAUAAUUCUAGCUUCAAUAGGAUAUAUUUAAAUUGUUGUAGUUAAAAAACUCGUAGUUAGAACUAGGGUUAGGUCGUUUGGUCCACCUCACAGUGAGCACCAGUCUACUUGUCCUUAUAACUAUUGAUGUGCUCUUGACCUUAACUAGCCAAGUCAUUCCUUUGGCGAUGUUACUUUGAAGAAAUUAGAGUGCUCAAAAUAGGCCUAUGUUUGUAUACAUUAGUAUAGGAUAACAUCAUAGGAUUUUGGUGUUAUUGUGUUGGCCUUUGGGAUCAAAGUAAUGAUUAACAGAGACAGUUAGGGGUAUUCAUAUUUUGUAGUCAGAAGUAAAAUUCUUGGAUUUAUGAAAGAUGAACAACUGCAAAAGCAUUUGCCAAAGAUGUUUUCAUUAAUCAAGAAUGAAAGUUGAGGCUCAAAGUUGAUCAAAUACCAUCCUAGUCUCAACUAUAAAUGAUGCUAACCAGGGAUCAAUGAAUGUUACUUUUAGGACUCUAUCAACACCUUAUGAAAAUCAAAGUCUUUGAAUUCUAUGAGGAGUAUGGUUGCAAGGCUGAAACUUAAAGGGCACCAUUCGAAGUGGAGCUUGUAGUUUAAUUUGACUCAACAUAAGAAAACUUAUUAGGUCCAAACAUAGUAAGGAUUGACAUACUAAGAGCUCUUUCUUGAUUCUAUAGGUGGUGGUGCAUGGCCGUUCUUAGUUAGUAGAGCGAUUUGUCUACUUAAUUCUAUUAACGAAUGAGACUUUAGCCUAUUAACUAGCUACGAAGAGAUGAUCCUUCAUGGCUAGCUUUUUAAAGGGCCUAUGGCUGCUUAAACCAAGGAAGUUUGAGGUAAUAAUAGGUCUAUGAUGCCUUUAGAUGUUUUGGGCUGUAAGUGCGCUACACUGAUGUAUUCAAUGAAUCUAUAGCCUUGGCCGAUAGAUCGGGGUAAUCUUUAAAAUUUCAUCACGAUAGGCAUAGAUCAUUGGAAUUAUUAGUCUUCAAUGAGAAAUUCCUAGUAAGUGUGAGUCAUUAGCUUACGUGCCCUUUGUACACACAACCUAUCGCUCCUAUUAAUUGAAUGGUCCGAUGAAGUGUUCAGAUUGUAGCGACAUGGAUAGUUCACUACCUAUGACAUUACGAUAAGUCCACUAAAUCUUAUCAUUUAGAGGAAGGAAAAGUCGUAACAAGGUUUUCAUAGGUGAACUUGUGAAAG
rnacentral:rRNA from 1 species